AAAGGAAUAGACGGGGACCCGCACAAGCGGUGGAGCAUGUGGUUUAAUUCGAAGCAACGCGAAGAACCUUACCAAAUCUUGACAUCCCUCUGACAGCAUAUGUAAUGUAUGUUUCCUUCGGGACAUAGGUGACAGGUGGUGCAUGGUUGUCGUCAGCUCGUGUCGUGAGAUGUUGGGUUAAGUCCCGCAACGAGCGCAACCCUUAUCUUUAGUAGCCAGCGGUCUGGCCGGGCACUCUAGAGAGACUGCCGGGGAUAACCCGGAGGAAGGCGGGGAUGACGUCAAAUCAUCAUGCCCCUUAUGAUUUGGGCUACACACGUGCUACAAUGGCGUAAACAAAGGGAAGCGAAAUGGUGACAUGGAGCAAAUCUCAAAAAUAACGUCUCAGUUCGGAUUGUAGUCUGCAACUCGACUACAUGAAGCUGGAAUCGCUAGUAAUCGCGAAUCAGAAUGUCGCGGUGAAUACGUUCCCGGGUCUUGCACACACCGCCCGU
rnacentral:rRNA from 1 species